rnacentral:tRNA from 1 species
GCGCGAGUGGCGGAAUUGGCAGACGCGCACGCUUGAGGUGCGUGUGGUUUACACCGUGGGGGUUCGAGUCCCCCCUCGCGCA